rnacentral:rRNA from 1 species
CCUACGGGAGGCAGCAGUCGAGAAUCAUUCACAAUGGGGGAAACUCUGAUGGUGCGACGCCGCGUGGGGGAAUGAAGGUCUUCGGAUUGUAAACCCCUUUCAUGUGGGAGCAAAUUUACAAUAUAGUACCACAAAAGGAAGAGACGCCUAACUCUGUGCCACCAGCCACGGUAAUACAGGGGUCUCAAGCGUUGUACGGAAUCACUGGGCGUAAGGCGUGCGGGGGCUGUUUAGUAAGUGGUGGGUAAAUGGCGCGGGCUAAACCAGCGGACGGCACAAGAUACUGCUAGACUAGAGUAAUGGGGGGAGAAUGGGAAUUCUGGGUGUAGGAGUGAAAGGGGUAGAAAUAGAGGGGAAAACUGGUGGGGAAGGUGGGUUCCUGGACAUUAACUGACGCUGAGGAACGAAGGCUAGGGGAGAGAAAGGGAUUAGAUACCCGAGUAUC